rnacentral:rRNA from 1 species
UGAGGAAUAUUGGUCAAUGGGCGGGAGCCUGAACCAGCCAAGCCGCGUGGAGGAAGAAGGUACAGAGUAUCGUAAACUCCUUUUGUCAGGGGAUAAAAGGCGCCACGAGUGGCGUUCUGAAGGUACCUGAAGAAAAAGCAUCGGCUAACUCCGUGCCAGCAGCCGCGGUAAUACGGAGGAUGCGAGCGUUAUCCGGAUUUAUUGGGUUUAAAGGGUGCGUAGGCGGUCUUUUAAGUCAGCGGUGAAAGCCCGGGGCUCAACCCCGGCGAGCCGUUGAUACUGGGAGACUGGAGAGGAAGAGAGGCAUGCGGAAUUCGCGGUGUAGCGGUGGAAUGCUUAGAUAUCGCGAAGAACUCCGAUUGCGAAGGCAGCCUACUGGUCGCGGACUGACGCUGAGGCACGAAAGCGUGGGGAUCGAACAGGAUUAGAUACC